rfam:Populus trichocarpa scaffold_8_contig_233, whole genome shotgun sequence.
UUUAGAACUUCAGAUAUAGGUUAAACAACUAACAGUAUUUGGAUUGGAGGACAAAUUCAUAUUUCUCUUUUGUUGUUAAGAUUUGAACUUAAAAAUGACAGUGUUGAGUCUUGGGCUUUUCAUGAAUAUUUUAGGUUUACAUCUUAGCUUUUUAUC